GAUCCGGUGGCCAAGUGGUAAGGCAGGAGCAAAACAUGCUCUGAUCGCAGGUUCGAAUCCUGCCCGGAUCUCCA
rnacentral:tRNA from 1 species